rnacentral:rRNA from 1 species
UGGGGAAUUUUGGACAAUGGGCGCAAGCCUGAUCCAGCCAUGCCGCGUGCGGGAAGAAGGCCCUUCGGGUUGUAAACCGCUUUUGUCAGGGAAGAAAUCUUCUGAGUUAAUACCUCGGGAGGAUGACGGUACCUGAAGAAUAAGCACCGGCUAACUACGUGCCAGCAGCCGCGGUAAUACGUAGGGUGCAAGCGUUAAUCGGAAUUACUGGGCGUAAAGCGUGCGCAGGCGGUUUUGUAAGACAGAGGUGAAAUCCCCGGGCUCAACCUGGGAACUGCCUUUGUGACUGCAAGGCUUGAGUGCGGCAGAGGGGGAUGGAAUUCCGCGUGUAGCAGUGAAAAUGCGUAGAUAUGCGGAGGAAACACCGAUGGCGAAGGCAAUCCCCCUGGGCCUGCACUGACGCUCAUGCACGAAAGCGUGGGGAGC